rnacentral:rRNA from 1 species
UACAGAGGGUGCAAGCGUUAAUCGGAAUUACUGGGCGUAAAGCGUGCGUAGACGGUUACAUAAGUCAGAUGUGAAAGCCCCGGGCUCAACCUGGGAAUUGCAUUUGAGACUGCGUAGCUAGGGUGCGGAAGAGGGAAGCGGAAUUUCCGGUGUAGCGGUGAAAUGCGUAGAUAUCGGAAGGAACACCAGUGGCGAAAGCGGCUUCCUGGUCCAGCACCGACGUCAGGCACGAAGCGUGGGAGCAA